UAAUUUGAGAGUUUGAUCCUGGCUCAGGAUGAACGCUGGCGGCGUGCUUAACACAUGCAAGUCGAACGAAGCAACUAUCUUGCUUGCAAGAGAGUUGACUUAGUGGCGGACGGGUGAGUAACGCGUGGGUAACCUGCCUCAUACAGGGGGAUAACAGUUGGAAACGACUGCUAAGACCGCAUAACCCGCUAGU
rfam:Anaerosporobacter mobilis DSM 15930 genome assembly, contig: EJ17DRAFT_scaffold00029.29